UGGCUGUGAUGUCUGAAGUAUAAUACCAUCAAACUACGAAAGCUAUUGAUUAUAGCUUAUUGAUUCAAUUCUUACUCGCUGAGCCA
rfam:Ipomoea nil DNA, scaffold: scaffold0188, cultivar: Tokyo-kokei standard.